rnacentral:rRNA from 1 species
CCUACGGGAGGCAGCAGUGGGGAAUAUUGGACAAUGGGGGGAACCCUGAUCCAGCCAUGCCGCGUGUGUGAAGAAGGCCCUCGGGUUGUAAAGCACUUUCAGUGAGGAAGAACGCCUGGUGGUUAAUACCCAUCAGGAAAGACAUCACUCACAGAAGAAGCACCGGCUAACUCCGUGCCAGCAGCCGCGGUAAUACGGAGGGUGCGAGCGUUAAUCGGAAUUACUGGGCGUAAAGCGCGCGUAGGUGGCUUGAUAAGCCGGUUGUGAAAGCCCCGGGCUCAACCUGGGAACGGCAUCCGGAACUGUCAAGCUAGAGUGCAAGAGAGGAAGGUAGAAUUCCCGGUGUAGCGGUGAAAUGCGUAGAGAUCGGGAGGAAUACCAGUGGCGAAGGCGGCCUUCUGGACUGACACUGACACUGAGGUGCGAAAGCGUGGGUAGCAAACAGGAUUAGAUACCCUUGUAGUC